rnacentral:rRNA from 1 species
AGAGUUUGAUCCUGGCUCAGAUUGAACGCUGGCGGAAUGCUUUACACAUGCAAGUCGAACGGCAGCACGGGGGCAACCCUGGUGGCGAGUGGCGAACGGGUGAGUAAUACAUCGGAACGUGCCCAGUCGUGGGGGAUAACUACGCGAAAGCGUAGCUAAUACCGCAUACGAUCUACGGAUGAAAGCGGGGGAUCGCAAGACCUCGCGCGAUUGGAGCGGCCGAUGGCAGAUUAGGUAGUUGGUGGGGUAAAGGCUCACCAAGCCGACGAUCUGUAGCUGGUCUGAGAGGACGACCAGCCACACUGGGACUGAGACACGGCCCAGACUCCUACGGGAGGCAGCAGUGGGGAAUUUUGGACAAUGGGCGCAAGCCUGAUCCAGCCAUUCCGCGUGCAGGAUGAAGGCCCUCGGGUUGUAAACUGCUUUUGUACGGAACGAAACGGCCUGGGUUAAUACCCUGGGUUAAUGACGGUACCGUAAGAAUAAGCACCGGCUAACUACGUGCCAGCAGCCGCGGUAAUACGUAGGGUGCAAGCGUUAAUCGGAAUUACUGGGCGUAAAGCGUGCGCAGGCGGUAAUGUAAGACAGAUGUGAAAUCCCCGGGCUCAACCUGGGAACUGCAUUUGUGACUGCAUUGCUGGAGUGCGGCAGAGGGGGAUGGAAUUCCGCGUAGCAGUGAAAUGCGUAGAUAUGCGGAGGAACACCGAUGGCGAAGGCAAUCCCCUGGGCCUGCACUGACGCUCAUGCACGAAAGCGUGGGGAGCAAACAGGAUUAGAUACCCUAGUAGUCC